AUACUGGCAAUAACGCUAGCUCAACGAUAUCUUUCAACGACAUCUGUUUCUGUGUGUAAUGUGUAGACAUUUUUUCUUUGAAGAAAUUUUGUUAAUAUUUCUUAGAUUUUGCUAAAUAAAAACUACAUUUAAUAAUGAAUUCGCGGAAUAACUUUUUAGAUGCGGAUAAUAGUUUAAUAGAGAGAAGGUUGAGAUUUGUGCAGAAUGAUUUUGAAGACAGUUUGAAUCAAUACUUUAGGGGAUCUAGAUGUGACGAUUCCACUACUUCUCCACCUCCACGCGACUACAAAAUUGUUCAACCUAAACCUGGCCGCUCUUCAAAUCAUAAUUUCCAUAUUGAAGAGCGUAAAGCAUUUUUACAGCAAUUGGGUUUGCCUCGCCAUGAAGCUUACGAAUUGGCCGUGAGUACUGAAUUUGACGUUAAACAUUAUGAAAAAAUGCUUCAUGAUAUGUUUAAAAAUGGCAAAAGAACAGAAUUUAUUAACGCUUAUAUAUCGGACAAUAUAAAGCGUUUAUCGAGCGGCAAUUAUGAUUUAAAUGGUCAGAGCAAUUUUCAUAAUUCUGCACAAAAUAAUAUUCCUCCCCCUCCGCCUCGUAUGUUAAAUUGGGAGAGUGACACCGCUAUUGAUGUCGAUCAAAUAUCCGGACAUGACGUAGCACCGACGACGUCAAAAAAACUUAACAAAUCUGAAGGUGCGAAUGGAUCGGAAAUGUUAUCCAGAUCUAAAAAACGAAAAAGAAGCUAUUUCUUACGAUUGGGCUUUCAAAACGAAGAAGCUCAACAGUUGGCAAAGGAUGGUUAUUCAAGAAAAAGAGCAAGGAAACUUGGCAAAGCAUUAAAUACAAUUCCAUUCAAAAUUGCUAUAUUGCCCUGCGAUUAUCCGGAAACUUUAUUGUUUACCGAACAUAUGGAUCAAAUACAAAGCGCCUUAAUGACUAAAUUAAGCAGCGAGCUUAUUCAAUCAACUCUAUCAACUUUACCAAUCUCCAAUAUUGUCUAUAAGGCAGGCUUUAUGUCUAUCGAUUGCAAGAAUGAUGAAGCAAUGAUUAAAUGGUUGUUCUUAAAUGUGCCUCUCAUCCAAUUAGGAGAGGACAUAGAGUUAAUGGCUAUAGAAGAACGAACGAUGCCAGAUCCCUUUAUUUGCGUAGGAAAAUUUAAAAAUGCUUCAAAUCUAGACGCAAAAGAGAUACUACGCAUCGUCCAAGCAACAAAUAAUGGUCUUAUCGUAAAGGCUUGGAGAACUCUCAAAACGGUAAUGACUGCUACUGCCACAAAGCUCGUUUUAGCAGUAGAUCCCAAAUCUGCAGAGAUAUUACAAGAAAAAAAGAAUUUCGUUAUGUACAAAGGUCAACGGGUCCACUUAAAGCAUCAGAAAAUGUUAAAGCCUUACUUGAGAUCUGACCCUACUAGGGCACAAAAAAAUUCCUGGAACAAAAUUAAAAAAUUACGCCGAAACGCGGCCACCCAAAAAUUACAAAGACCAUAAACUAAGACAUCGAAAAAACCGGUUUGCUAAAAUUUCAAGCACUUUCCGCUUUUCGAACCUCGUUAAGUUAAAUAUCAAAAUUAAAUAAAUGAAAAAAACGCUUGGAAGAGAAGAACUAAUUUGCAUCCACCAGCUUUUGUUGUAUGAAAUGCAUUAGCUCUUCAAUUAAUUCAUCAUAAGUAUCAACUGAAACCAAUUAUUUGAAACCGGAGUUAGUGCUACACACUGAAUGAAAUUGUGCCCGGUUUUCCUCUGUAUUAUACUACUUUAUGCAGCGAACAAAAUUUUCUUUAUUAAAAAUUUUGGUAGUA